rnacentral:misc_RNA from 1 species
AGAGAGAGAGAGAGAGAGAAUGUUUCUAGUUACUCCUGUAUCAAUGCAUUAUUAAAUAGUGUAAUGUGGAUAUUCAGUUCUCAAGCCUUUAGUUAUGUUUAGGAAUGUCAAUUGGUUAGAUUUUUACGGGUAUUUGAUCCAACCGAAUCAUAAUAAGACAUAUUUGGGUAGUAUAUAAUCGAGUUUGGGAUAAGUUCGGGUUUUGAAAAAUAAUACCUGUUGUGG